CCCUCUUCAGGUCUUCAGUGCGGAACUUUGAGGUGGGUUUGUCUGAGUCUCUGAAAGUCUGUAGGUGGUGUCUCUCUGUGAGGGCUCCACAGUGCUCUGUCUGUGGGGUUUUGCAUGCAUGACUGUGGGGGCCUGGGUAGACUUCUGAGGAUCCAUAUGUGGAUUAAAUCGACAGGUCUCCCCAGGAGGAACGUGAUGAGUGUCAGUGGAUUUCUAAGAGGACUUGUACAGAUCUUAAGUCACUACUGUCUCAUACUAUUUUCCGCAUGUCUGGUGAUAUCUGUGAGGGAGUGUGUGCUUGUGUGUGUGUGUGUGUGUGUGUGUGUGUGUGUGUGUGUGUGUGUGUGUGUGUAUGGGGGAAGAUCUCCGGAACUCUAGGAUGUCAAUCUCUCAGGGUCAUGAAAGUCAUCUUGGAAUGUCUGUCAUUCCCCUCAAGAACCCUGGGACCCAGUCUGAGAAUUUCCUGUACCCAAAUGUGACUCCUGAGCUCCUGAGGUACCACACAGUGCCUUCCUCAAGGUCCUGGCUUCCCUCUGGCCUCUGGGACACCCUGAGGCUGCUGCCACUGAUACAGUGUUGGCUCUGAAGAGGAUUGUGUGAUUCUCUAUGAGUUCUGUGUUGGGGGAAAUUUUGGGUCUCUUCCUGCCAAGGAUUCUGUAGCAAUCUCUGUGGUGUUCUCCAUGGAGGUGUCUCGGUAGACGUUCCAGUUCUAUCAUGACCCAUGUGGUUGUCGAGAACUGUCAGGAAUUCUGGGGUAUUUCCCAGUGUAGAUUGUGUCAGAGCCCGUGUAGUGACCUCUUUGGGAGUGUUAUCAGUGAACAUUACUGUGGAGGUCUCUGUGAGGUUCUCCAGGCCCACAUUAUGGUCCAUUAUGGUUGACGGGGAUAAGCUGGGCAGAAUGUGUUCUGCUGGUUGCGUGGUCUCUUAACACCACUGUCUCUAGCACUUGUACCCUCAGGUAUUGCUUGUAACCCCAAUCAAGAACCUUGCAGGCAGGCAUACAAAGGCUCAUAGUCAAGAGCACAGAUUCUGGGACUUGGGCAAGUGCCAAAAGUACACUGGUUUAUUAGAGGAACUGGGCAAACCCUUAUAAUCACGUCCCAGCGUUUCUUUGGCUCUCGGGCAGCUGGAUAUGACACUGUUUCCUCAGUGGAUCGCUCCAUCAUCUGAUCCAGCAUCAUCAGCCUCUACCUGUGCUGGCAGAUUCUAGGUUGGCUAAGGGAGGAAGUAUCAGAGGCACAUAUGCCAGCAUUGCAACUGGGCCUGCUUGGAUAAGUUCCUCCUCCACUCAAGAACCCUGGGACCCACUCUGAGAAUUUCCUGUACCCAAAUGUGACUCCUGAGCUCCUGAGGUACCAUAUAGUGCCUUCCUCAGGGCCCUGGCUUCACUGUGGCCUCUGGGACACGCUGAGGCUGCUGCCAGUGAUACACUGCUGGCUCAGAAGUGGACUGUUGGUCCCAUAUCCACCCAUAGGAGCUGCUGGGUCUCACCCAAGGACCUCGGGAACAUGUGUUGGCACUGGGCCCGCGGCUGAGUCCUGUAUGUUGGUGGCACCACAGGGAACAGGGUUUUCUAUCAGGGAAUAAACGCUUCCAUGGGAGCUGUCCCCUGGUUGCUCUCUUCAGGGAACAGUGCAGGGCUCACUGGAGAUUGGCUAUUCUCCUCUUCAGUUACCCCCAUGUGUUUACAAAGACUGAGGUAAGGAAACCUGGGCAAGUAGCUGAGGGGGUCCUAACAGAGACACUUCUUUGCCUGCGCAGAGUUCCAGAGAGCACCUGUGCUUUGGCAAUGUCCCUUCUGCUGUGUGGGCAAGUCGUGUGAGAAGGCCUCUUCUUCUGGUCUCCUGGAAAGACAAAGGCUGGGGGCCUAGCAUGGCAAGCUGUGAGGUCACAGUGCAUCCCCAGCACCCUUCUCAGGUGUCCUUUCCUUGGGACUAAUGCUGGCACAGUGUGUGUGUGUGUGUGUGUGUGUGUGUGUGUGUGUGUGUGUGUGUGUGUCCCCGGAGUCCUCCGGGCUGUGAGUGACACAGAGAAUAUCGAGCUUGGCUUUUCCCCCAUCUCAGUGUCUAGAAUUCAGGAAGCCAGAACAUGCGGAUGAUCAGAUGUGCUGUUAGACAAUCUUCUGGGACUGCUUUCUGGGUUGGCAUCCAGACACUGGAAAGAUAAAGGGCUCCUCCAGCUUGCGGUGGAGCGCCAGCGGAC
rnacentral:lncRNA from 1 species